AUUGAACGCUGGCGGCAGGCCUAACACAUGCAAGUCGAGCGGUAGAGAGGUGCUUGCAUCUCUUGAGAGCGGCGGACGGGUGAGUAAUGCCUAGGAAUCUGCCUAGUGUGGGGGAUAACGUUCGGAAACGGACGCUAAUACCGCAUACGUCCUACGGGAGAAAGCGGGGGAUCUUCGGACCUCGCGCCAUUAGAUGAGCCUAGGUCGGAUUAGCUAGUUGGUGAGGUAAUGGCUCACCAAGGCGACGAUCCGUAACUGGUCUGAGAGGAUGAUCAGUCACACUGGAACUGAGACACGGUCCAGACUCCUACGGGAGGCAGCAGUGGGGAAUAUUGGGACAAUGGGCGAAAGCCUGAUCCAGCCAUG
rnacentral:rRNA from 1 species